AUACUUACCUGGAUGGGUAGUUCCUGCGAUCAAGCAGACAGGACUACGUUCCUCGGGUGCACCCUUGCACGAUCGGUCGCUGCCAAGGAGCAGGGCCCUUCACAGAGGGGUACCUACAUCACAAUAUAUUCGAGCGGUGUUAGCAGCUUGCUGCCUACACCU
rfam:Emiliania huxleyi CCMP1516 EMIHTscaffold_201_Cont5327, whole genome shotgun sequence.